rnacentral:lncRNA from 1 species
AAGAGAUUAUGUUAGAGCAAGUUCCCACAUAAGAGGACAUAGCUAAUCCUUUUGACCGGUUGUUAUGCAUUAUGAAUCAUAACAAACACUUUGAGUGUUUGGGCAUUGGAUAUCUUAGAGACUGGCUUUAGUCAGUGGGAGUAAAAGUAAUAUGUCUAGAAAUAAUCUAUGUUGAGACUUAUUACUUGAUCACAUUUAUGACAUUUGAUGUCACUAAUG